UAACCUGCCCAAGAGAUCGGGAUAACACCUGGAAACAGAUGCUAAUACCGGAUAACAACAGAUGAUGCCUAUCAACUGUUUAAAAGAUGGUUCUGCUAUCACUCUUGGAUGGACCUGCGGUGCAUUAGCUAGUUGGUAGGGUAACGGCCUACCAAGGCGAUGAUGCAUAGCCGAGUUGAGAGACUGAUCGGCCACAUUGGGACUGAGACACGGCCCAAACUCCUACGGGAGGGCAGCAGCC
rnacentral:rRNA from 1 species